rnacentral:lncRNA from 1 species
AACAUCAUACGGAUUUUUUCCUACUUCGAUCCGCCGUUAUGCGUUGUCGCAAUCAACAGUGUUGAAGGGAUUGUCAAGAAAUCGGUCCAGGUAUGUUAAAGCUAUCCCUUCUCUCUUUUUGGCAUGAUCUAUAUGACACGAACAAAAUGAGAAAAUACACAAUUUCCAUAAAUGACUCUAUUCAUAGAAAUACUAGGGGUGUCUAUAUUCUUGAUUUUCCCAUGUGGAUUAUUAUUAUAUCUUUUAUUCAUGGGUCUCAGAAAAAUACGUAUUUGAUAAAGUUUAUCCGAAAGGAAUAUGGAUUUUUAUGGCAUUCCGAGAAAAUCUUAUUAACGUAUUUCUUAUGCAUUUCAUGAAUUUAUACAUGUACAUUGACCCAUGACCAGAUGGAGUUAUAUAUGUAUAUAUAUGUGUAUUAUAUUUAUAUGGGAUAUGGGAAAAGGUUACGGCGUUAUAUACGUACCACCACCUGAUCAGCUGGUAUACGUUGAUUAUUUGCCCACAGUGGCCGAGAUGAUAUGAUGGGAUGCCCUCAGAGGCUGAUGAUGUUAUGAAACAUGUACCUAUGCACGACAUGACAUUCAUAUGCAUAUGCCUGACACUAUAAGUAUUUCACGAUUUAUAGAGUUAUCCAAACUUACAUGGAGUACUCCAUGUUUCUCUCAUGUCUAUUAUUUACUAAUUAUCAUUCUUACAUACUCGGUAUAUUAUUUGUACUGACAUCCCUUUUGCUUGGGGACGCUGCAUUUCAUGCCCACAGGUCCCGAUAGACAGGUUAAGAGUCCUCCAAGUAGUUUAUCAGCUCAGCGAAAGAUGUCGGUGCACUCCGUUUGCUCCGAAGUUGCUUAUAUGAUCAGUAUAAUUAGGACAUGUAUUAAUUAGUAUGGUGGGGCCCUGUCCCGAUCUUUAUGGUAUUUAUGUACUCUUAGAGGCUUGUGGACAUAUGUCAUGUGUAUGAAAGUUUGUACNN